CAGAAGAGGCGCGGGUUCGAAUCCUGCAGAGCUCAUUUUAACCAAUUUCCACUGUUAAAUCACCAAACAGUACUGGGUGUAACCAGCCCCUUUUAAGGCGCCAGCUAUAACUGGGCGCUAAAUUCUCACUGAUCUUGUGGGGCUAGCACCCCCCAAGCACUUCAAGUUAGAUCAGUACUGAAUAGAUAAGAUGUGGUGGAGGUGGAGACAUCUGCAGAAUAGUGAAUCAUUGUCAAGCUUAACUGAUCAGAGGUUCACUGCCAUUUCACUCACUACUAUCUAGACACCUCUAAAUUCUGAGGAAUGUAUUUAAAAACUAUCUGAUCAGAGCACUCCAGGCCUAGCAAGGAUCUAGAUGAGAUGAGGUCUAGAUGCUCUUAAUAGAUGAUUAGUGCAAGCAAGGCUGUGAUGAUCAAUUGAUAGACUGGAAUACUGAGAUUGGCAGCUGAAAGAUCAGAGGAUUUAACUAGAACUGAGUAGCUCUGAUGUUAUUCUUAGUGAGAAUUUCAUUUAGAUAGACUAGUUAAGAAACCCAGAUGGGCAGUGGUGCUCUAGAGGAAAUAAUAACCUCUAAUAAUAACUCAAGAGAACAG
rnacentral:sRNA from 2 species